rnacentral:lncRNA from 1 species
CUAAAAUGUACAUUCUAUUUCAAUAGACCUUGUUAUAAAGUACCUCUGAUACUCCUACCUCUUCCCACUGAAAAAGCAUAAAUUGUAAGUCUGUUUAAGUUUAGUGAUAUGAGAUAGUGUGUGGAAUAAAUUUUAAAUUAUGUUUGUUUUUUAUAUUUUUCCUAGCAUUGUAUAAUUAUCAUAUUCAAUUUGUGUGUAUACAACACUCAACACAGUGUCUUCUCCAAAAUAGGUCACAUUGAUAUGAAGCACAGAGACAGCUCUGAAAGCUGCCAAGGAACCAACAAGUGACAAAUGGAAUGAAGUCCCACACUCCUCUGCUUUCAUUCAUCAAGACACAAGAUUGGACUUUAAACCAAAUGUAGUUUGGUUUUAACUCUUCCUUAUUAGAUUAGGAAAGCUGAUCUUUCAUUAGUCAUUCUGUUUAAACUUAGAAGAAUUUUUAUAUAUCUCUGUCACUAUCUCUAUAUCUAUAUGUUUCUGAUUAACUGAAUGUGUGAAAGUUCUGGGGGGAAAUGUAU